CACGUAGGGCGCAAGCGUUGUCCGGAAUUAUUGGGCGUAAAGAGCUCGUAGGCGGUCUGCCACGUCCGCUGUGAAAACCUAGGGCUUAACCCUGGGCUUGCAGUAGAUACGGGCAGACUAGAGGUAGGUAGGGGAGAAUGGAAUUCCCGGUGUAGCGGUGAAAUGCGCAGAUAUCGGGAGGAACACCGGUGGCGAAGGCGGUUCUCUGGGCCUUACCUGGCGCUGAGGAGCGAAAGCGUGGGGAGCAAACAGG
rnacentral:rRNA from 1 species